GUUUCUACCUGCAGGGAAGCUGGAGGCUGUGACAGAAGUAGGGAGGGAGCAGUGAGCUGCUUUUGCUGAGCACUUGCAUUUCAUACGUUUGCAGUGUAGUGCUGUAGCUGUUUCCUGACCUGGGAUCAGACGCAGAUGAUCGCAGGAGGAAUAAAUCUUCAUCGUGCUGUGCUUGGCCCAAGAAACCUAGGCUGGGGUCCAGAGGAGUGGAGAUGCAGCUGGUGCAAUGUGUGGAUUUUGGAGAAAUAGCCUUGUCCUGCCACCCUGUUCCUGUUAUCUGCUCAGACAGGGGGAUUUAUGUACCAUGUGAUCUCCCUUUGUAUUUGGUGGUUUCCAUUACCCAAUUCAGGCUGAGAUUUCCUACCCAGAUGCGCAUCUGUCAUCCCCCAUCCUUUGGCCAACACAAGACUUGACAAAUCUACAAGGUCUGCAACUCAUCUGGAGAGUGUAAGCAAGGACUGCCAUACACAGUCCUUGCAACAGACUUUUAUUGCAAGGAUGGAUGGAUGCGGUUGUGAAUAAAGAGGCAAGGCUGAGAAGAAGGUGAUGUGACCUUUCUUUUGCAGUAAAUUAACAAACAUUGUAAAAUUAUAAACAUACACCCUUUUUUGUUUUAUGCCAUUUCAGUAUGAAAAGGCAUCAACACUUUAAGCAGAUCCUUCAAGGACAGGGUGUACUGUUCUCUAAGUGCAAAUGACAUAUGGUUGAGCCUGCUUGUGUUAAUUUGAGAUAAAAAGAGAGGAAAAAAAAGUUACAUCUUUUGAAAGAGCCUCCCAUAAGGGCAAUACUAGCUGCCUUUACAAGGUGUGACGUGAAAGUCUGGCUUAGCUCAAUCAGCAGCACGCAUGGUCCCACUGAAACAGCAAAGGUUUCUGCAUCAAGAAGCACAGAAGUAAAAGUAUAAAGGAGGUGAAAUAAUAGCAGCAGCAACAGCAGAAUCAAUUGUUAUUUCAUCAAGCAACAGAAAUCAGACCACUUGAUCAUGUUGGUUGCUCUGGUUUUUAAACUCAGGUCUUUCCAUCAGGAGAUUGCUCAGUUGAAAGCUCCAUAUAGUGAGAAUAUAUGCUUUCUUUUUCCACAAGAAUUGGAAAUAAUAUGAGCUAAGACUGACAACCCCAGCAUCUGGGAGUGCUUAAAGCAAUUCAUAGUUUUGCUCCAGUCACGUGACUCUGGCCAAAGACUGCAGAAAAGCCAAAUUGGUCUGGAGGAAGCCUUGGUGUUGGGUAAAAUGCAAUAAAUUGAGCAAGGGUACUUUGAUUUAUUUAUCCUAGAUCAUUGUAAAUGAAUGACAUUCUUUCUCCUAUUGCAAAUACUUAUUUGCUAUUUAUUGUAUACCCAACAUUCAUGACUAUGUUAAUUGAGUUGUAUCUUUUUUUACCUUAAUUUUAUGAACAUUAUUGCUCUGCUUUAGAGGUCCUGAUUAGUUGAUUUAUACGGUCUCUCUUUUCCACAGGCAUUUUCAUAGUCAUUGUCUUCCAGAUGUAUUUUGUAUAGGUUUAAAGGAAAUGUUUACUGCAUUCCAGAAAUACUGUUGCCAAAGUCUCUAAUUUAGGCGGGUGGGAAUAACUUAUGAUAGGCAGAUCUACGUGCUACUUUGCGUAUUUCACUUUUAACCAUGUGAAAUUGUAAGAGUAACAAGAAUGAAUUAUUCAAAUGAGAGAAAUUCUUAAUUAAAACAUUAAAAAGUUCCAUAUUUCCGACA